rnacentral:rRNA from 1 species
UACGGAGGGUGCAAGCGUUAUCCGGAUUCACUGGGUUUAAAGGGUGCGUAGGCGGGUAGGUAAGUCAGUGGUGAAAUCUUCGAGCUUAACUCGGAAACUGCCUUUGAUACUAUCUAUCUUGAAUAUUGUGGAGGUAAGCGGAAUAUGUCAUGUAGCGGUGAAAAUGCUUAGAUAUGACAUAGAACACCAAAUUUGCGAAGGCAGCUCACUAC